GUACAAUGAAGCAGUCAUAAGAGCCAUCCCUAGUCAAUUCCACCACCCCACCAAUCUUUAACACUAUUAUAUGUGCCCUUGAAGAGUAGCAGACUUCAGCAAGUGCUCCAGACUCCCUUGAUUAUUAUCUUUGUGCCUAACUUUGUAAAUAUCUAUUAUAAAGGUAAAGGGACCCCUGACCAUUAGGUCCAGUCAUGGCCAACGCUGGGGUUCCUGCGCUUUAUUGGCCGAGGGAGCCGGUGUACAGCUUCCAGGUCAUGUGGCCAGCAUGACUAAGCCGCUUCUGGUGAACCAGAGCAGCGCACGGAAACCCCAUUUACCUUCCUGCCGGAGCGGUACCUAUUUAUCUACUUGCACUUUGACGUGCUUUUGAACUGCUAGGUUGGCAGGAGCAGGGACCGAGCAACAGGAGCUCACCCUGUCGCGGGGAUUCGAACCGCCGACCUUCUGAUCGGCAAGUCCUAGGCUCUGUGGUUUAACCCACAGCGCCACCCGCCUCCCUAAAUAUCUAUUAUACUCCAUCUUUUUUAGCAUGAGAUUUUAGCUGCCAUUGCCAGCAGAAAUGGUUAAGAAUUCCAGCUUCCAAUAAGAAAUUUGUUUUCUUAAAAAGCUGCUGCUGGCCCUCCCUCCUGCUGUAUUGGUGAUGUGACUUCCUUGGCUAACCAAGGUGAAAGGAGCAGCCGACUUGUGUUUUCAUAAUGAAUCUCGUUGUUUUCACAAAACCUACUCAAGGAAGUCGCCCACUUCAGUGAGUUGACUUAAAACGUCAAGUUUCUAAACCUCUGAGCUGCAGGAGGCAAAAUUCUUACAGAAAAUGCACUGUAAUGGUUCUGAAGGGUGGGGGACGAAUGGAAGAAAUACAGCUUAUAGACAGCUCUGUGCUGCUGGAAAUCAUAGUAAGUUAAAUAUUGUGGUUUGUCCAAGGUAAGUCGGGUUCAGAAGAGCAUCCUGGGUUUUUUUACAGGUGUCAAACAGUGUGUUUGUGAGACAGGAAGACAAGGAGAAUAUUCACAUGAGGCAAUUCAUGGCAAGGUGAACAAAGGCUGUAUUUUGCCUCGCUGUAAUCUGUAGUAUUAAUAAUCUCUUCUGCCCCUACCCUACCUGAGUGCUUACAUCUGAAUUGACUUCUAUGGUAUCUUUCUUGUUUAUUUCUGUUUUGUCCGCAUGCUAUAUUUUCUUCCAGUGCUAUUUCUCUCAAAUUGCACUGGUUUUCCUUUUCUAAAUUAAACCAUCAGAUCUACACUGGAAUCUGGUGCCCCUGUGGAUCCUGCCACCGGAGGCAGUUACCUCAGCUUGUCUCAAGGGUGGGCCGGCCUUGAUCGCCAAUUUCCCUCAUACUAUUUUCCGAUCAAUUUUAGCAGGAAAAUUGAGGCUCUCAUCCAACAAGCAACUGUCUACGUGUAUGUGUAUCUUAAGAACUGAAGUUCUGAUGAGACCAAAGCUGAGAAAGACCAUCCUUUUGCAAACUACUGGAACUUCUUGAUGCAAGUUUUAGUCCUGAGUGUUUGCCCUGAACCAUCUUUCUUUUGUGUUAGACUAGAGGAAGUUCGGUGUAAUCCAGUGUGUUUCAGCAUAUCAUAAGUAAAUCACUGUAAACUCCAGAAAUAAAGGCACUCAUUAUUUCAUUCUCCAUAUACCAAAUAGGACAAGCUGAAUGUUUCUUUUCCACACAGGAGAUUCCAGUCCUACAUCUUUUUACCACUGCUACUUAAAAGGAAGUUCUGGUUGCACACAACAUGAGCUGCUAUUCUCCUUGCCUGUUUCCUCUGACUGACCAGGACAAGACUUCCUUGCAGACUUUUGAUCCGGUGAGGUUACUUUUACGUCAGCAUCUGGAUCCUCUUUAUACCCCUGAAAUAAAAUCAGAACACUGUUUCUGAUUCAUUCGAUAGUUGUUUUUCUCUACCAAAGAUUUACUGAGCAGCCGUUUCCUUCUCUGCCUACCUACUUUUAAUUUGUUGGAUCCACUUUAAGGCAUGGGGGUGGGGAAGAAGAUGUCCUCAAAGAGGCAGCAGGCUUUCUCGAGUUAAAAUAAAUGUGUACAUAGCUAAGAGAAGUGGAGAAGUGGAAAGCACAUUCUGAAUCACUGGCUUCCUGAGGUGAGCGUAAAAGCAAUGAG